AACGAACGCUGGAGGCAUGCUUAACACAUGCAAGUUGAACGAUUUUGUGUUGAUAGCAAUAUUGAUGCAAAGUAGUGGCAAACGGGUGAGUAACACGUGGGAAUGUGCCCUUUAGUUCGGAAUAACGUUUGGAAACGAACGCUAAAACCGGAUGAGCCCGAGAGGGGAAAGAGAAAUCGCUAAAGGAGCGGCCCGCGCUAGAUUAGGUAGUUGGUGUGGUAAAGGCACACCAAGCCAAUGAUCUAUAGCUGGUCUGAGAGGACGAACAGCCACACUGGAACUGAGACACGGUCCAGACUUCUACGGAAGGCAGCAGUGGGGAAUAUUGGACAAUGGGGGAAACCCUGAUCCAGCAAUGCCUCGUGAGUGAAGAAGGCCUUAGGGUUGUAAAGCUCUUUUAUUAGGGAAGAUAAUGACGGUACCUAAUGAAUAAGCUCCGGCAAACUUCGUGCCAGCAGCCGCGGUAAUACGAAGGGGGCAAGCGUUGUUCGGAAUAACUGGGCGUAAAGGGUGAGUAGGCGGUUUAGUAAGUUUGGUGUGAAAUACUUGGGCUUAACCUGAGAACUGCACUGAAGACUGCUAGGCUAGAGAGUUGUAGGGGAUGACGGAAUUAUGCAUGGAGAGGUGGAAUUCAUAGAUAUGCAUAGGAACACCAGCGGCGAAGGCGGUCAUCUGGGCAACAACUGACGCUGAGACACGAAAGCGUGGGUAGCAAACAGGAUUAGAUACCCUGGUAGUCCACGCUGUAAACGAUGAAUGCUAGAUGUCGGGGUCUGAAGACUUCGGUGUCGCAGUUAACACAAUAAGCAUUCCGCCUGGGGAGUACGGUCGCAAGAUUAAAACUUAAAGGAAUUGACGGGGACCCGCACAAGCGGUGGAUUAUGUGGUUUAAUUCGAAGCUACGCGCAGAACCUUACCGGCUCUUGACAUGUGCCCUAAGCCUGACAGAGAUGACAGGUGCACCUCGGGUGGGGGCAACACAGGUGCUGCAUGGCUGUCGUCAGCUCGUGUCGUGAGAUGUUGGGUUAAGUCCCGCAACGAGCGCAACCCUCGCGUUUAUUUGCCAACAGUAAGAUGGGAACUAUAAACGGACUGCCGGUUAUAAGCCGGAGGAAGGUGAGGAUGACGUCAAGUCCUCAUGGCCCUUAUGGGCCGGGCUACACACGUAAUACAAUGGCCGCGACAAAGAGAAGCAAAAAGAGUGAAAUCUCGAGCAAAUCUCAAAAAAACGGCCUCAGUACGGAUUGUCUUCUGCAACUCGAAGGCAUGAAGUCGGAAUCGCUAGUAAUCGCAGAUCAGAAUGCUGCGGUGAAUACGUUCUCGGGU
rnacentral:rRNA from 1 species